UACGUAGGGACCAAGCGUUGUUCGGAUUUACUGGGCGUAAAGGGCGCGUAGGCGGCGUGACAAGUCACUUGUGAAAUCUCUGAGCUUAACUCAGAACGGCCAAGUGAAACUGUUGUGCUAGAGUGCAGAAGGGGCAAUCGGAAUUCUUGGUGUAGCGGUGAAAUGCGUAGAUAUCAAGAGGAACACCUGAGGUGAAGACGGGUUGCUGGGCUGACACCGACGCUGAGGCGCGAAAGCCAGGGGAGCAAACGGG
rnacentral:rRNA from 1 species